rnacentral:rRNA from 1 species
AACGAACGCUGGCGGCAGGCCUAACACAUGCAAGUCGAGCGCCCCCGCUAAGGGGAGCGGCGGACGGGUGAGUAACGCGUGGGAACGUACCCCCUUUCUACGGAAUAGCCUCGGGAAACUGGGAGUAAUACCGUAUAAGCCCCUACGGGGGAAAGAUUUAUCGGGAAGGGAUCGGCCCCGCGUUGGAUUAGGGUAGUUGGUGGGGGUAAUGGCCUACCAAGCCGACGAUCCAUAGCUGGUUUGAGAGGAUGAUCAGCCACACUGGGACUGAGACACGGCCCAGACUCCUACGGGAGGCAGCAGUGGGGAAUCUUAGACAAUGGGCGCAAGCCUGAUCUAGCCAUGCCGCGUGAGCGAUGAAGGCCUUAGGGUUGUAAAGCUCUUUCAGUGGGGAAGAUAAUGACUGUACCCCACAGAAGAAGCCCCCGGCUAACUCCGUGCCAGCCAG